rnacentral:misc_RNA from 1 species
GGGUGCAUGAGUGGUGUUUGGUUUGAUACGGGUGGUCGGCUCCCUGCUUGAGCAGGCACGGCCACGCGUGCAUUCCUUUUCAGCUGUGCGACAAGGCUUGUAUCGUCUUGAUCGUAUAAGUGGGUUUCCUGUGUUGCAUACCUGAUCGAUGGCAUCGUCUUGAUCAAAAGUGUGUAUUUUUCGUCUGGCAAUGCACUUGCAUUGUCGGAUGAACCACGUAGCAUCCUCUUUGAUCCAUACAGUUGACGUGCUUUCGUUGAUUGUUUGGCCCAUUGAGCGGUGACUCGGUCUCUCGGAUAUGGAAGCCAAAGUGGGCAUGGGGUCGUAAGAUCUCUUUAUUGUCCUCACUGAGCGUUCUCACUUCUCUUACACGACCGCCUUUCACGUAUGGCACGUCUCAGCGUGUUUGGCUACGUGGAAGAGGAAUGUUGGGCGUUCUUGCUUUUCUUACACGACUGCCUUUCACGUAUGGCAUGUCCCA